rnacentral:rRNA from 1 species
AUUGAACGCUGGCGGCAGGCCUAACACAUGCAAGUCGAACGGUAACAGGAAGACUCUUGCUUCUUUGCUGACGAGUGGCGGGCGGGUGAGUAAUGUCUGGGAAACUGCCUGAUGGAGGGGGAUAACUACUGGAAACGGUAGCUAAUACCGCAUAACGUCGCAAGACCAAAGAGGGGGACCUUCGGGCCUCUUGCCAUCGGAUGUGCCCAGAUGGGAUUAGCUAGUAGGUGGGGUAACGGCUCACCUAGGCGCCGAUCCCUAGCUGGUCUGAGAGGAUGACCAGCCACACUGGAACUGAGACACGGUCCAGACUCCUACGGGAGGCAGCAGUGGAGAAUAUUGCGCAAUGGGGGAGAGCCUGAUGCAGCCAUGCCGCGUGUAUGAAGAAGGCCCUCGGGUUGUAAAGUACUUUAGGCGGGAGGGAAGGGAGUCAAGUUAAUACCUUUGCUCAUUGACGUUACCCGCAGAAGAAGCACCGGCUAACUCCGUG